CCAACAUUUCCACCAGAGAAAGGAGGAGAAAAUAGACUCUCUUAUAAAAUCUAGCUGAGAACCAUGGAGAGAACUGUGAGAUUUAUAUAUCUAUUAACUAUCAUCAAGGAACCUUCCUUCUGUAGUAGACUGAGACCUAUGCAGAGAUCCAGAACUGCUCAGCCUACAAAGAAUACAAGACUACGGAUUGAUUGGCUUUAAAUGAGACACCUGUGUGAAACUCCUCACCCAAGUUCAAGUGUCAUCACAGAAGAGAGCUUGAGAAGACUGCAAAACCCAAAGGGGAGUAUAGAGGACACUUCAGGACCCCCGGGGGAGUCAGGAUGACUCUGUUUCUUUUGGAAACAGCAAGACACAGUAUCGGUGGGAGCCAUCAGAGUCUUUCUGUAACCUGGUUUCUGGGCCUGUGGCAGGGGCGAACUGUCUGUAUAGACAGGUUUCUGUGCCUGUGACCCACCUCACAGGUUCUGGUCAUCAGGAAAAAGGAAACAUGGAAGGAGGGGUCUGGGCCUAAGAAGUCGUCAAGCCUCCAAGAUCCUUCAGUAGAACCUGUUUCUCCAAGACCCUCCUCCUCCAUAUCCCCCUACCCUUGCCCCCAUGACCCUGACAGUGCCAGUGCCAGCAUCCUCAGACCAUAGAAGACCAUGAUGGUUGUACCCACAUUUACCUAAGGGGGUAACAGAGGAGACCCCCAACUUCCUGGUCCUGCCACGGGGAGCCAAGUCUGAGAGCUACCUACCCUGAUACCACAGUGGCUCUCCCACU